GAUAUACUCUCUCCGUCUGAAAAUACUUGUCAUCAAAAUGGAUAAAAAGAGAUGUAUCUAGAACUAAAAUAUGUCUAGAUACAUCUCCUUUUAUCCAUUUUGAUGACAAGUAUUUCCGGAUGGAGGGAGUAUAAA
rfam:Triticum urartu cultivar G1812 contig239784, whole genome shotgun sequence.